rnacentral:rRNA from 1 species
UACGGGGGGGGCAAGCGUUGUUCGGAAUUACUGGGCGUAAAGAGCUCGUAGGCGGUCUGUCGCGUCGGUCGUGAAAACUUGGGGCUUAACCCCGAGCUUGCGGUCGAUACGGGCAUGACUGGAGUUCGGCAGGGGAGACUGGAAUUCCUGGUGUAGCGGUGAAAUGCGCAGAUAUCAGGAGGAACACCGGUGGCGAAGGCGGGUCUCUGGGCCGAUACUGACGCUGAGGAGCGAAAGCGUGGGGAGCAAACAGG